CUAAAAUUGUGCCCAGGGCUGAAAUCCUUGAAAAUAUGCAGUGUGUGACCCUGGGCACUCAUUUAAGACCCCGGGGCCUCAGCUUUCAUCUGUGAAAUGGAGAGGUUUCCUGUUUGUAGAGACUCGAAUUCUUCCACCAAAAACCUCUGGGCAUCAAUGUCAGAAGAAUGGGUACCAAUGACUGGACUGGACUGGAUAACAAAGCACAUGAUAUUUCUAAGACAAACCAGAAAAUUACUGUUGAAUUUUUAUUCAUCUUGAGAAGCAACACCUUUGCUAUAUAUCAGAAUCCUAAUGACCUCCAAAAAAGGCUUAGAGGCAGGAAAAUAAUUAAAAUUGUUAAAGCUCUAACAGAUCUUCGUAUUUGGAGCCUAAACAAAGACAAUGAGAAACAGUUUGACUUCGGCCACUGAUUUCAUAAAGGAAUUCACAGAUGAACAAUCAUCACAAUAGUCUAGAAGUGAAUAUCUUGCUUGGUACACGAAGUAAACAGAACAUUUGGGUUUGGACAACAGACGCUGAUCAAAUUACUCAAGUAUCAAAUUAUAGAGACAUAGGUGCUUUGAAUACUCUCAACCUGAAUUACUUUUAAAACACACUGCAGGAUAAUAAAAAGUUUGAAGGCUUACCUGGUGGCUCAGUAUGGCUCAACAAAUACACAAAUGGAUAUAUUGCCCAUGCAAUGCCCAAAUUAAAGUUUUUUUUUAAUGCUCAAAUUAAAGUUGAAUUCAAAGAUGAAUUAAUUGAUUUCUUUGCCCAAAUUAAAAUCCCAAUA